rnacentral:rRNA from 1 species
UACGGGGGGAGCAAGCGUUGUUCGGAUUUACUGGGCGUAAAGGGCGCGUAGGCGGCCAGCGCAAGUCAGUUGUGAAAUCUCCGGGCUUAACUCGGAACGGUCAACUGAUACUGCGCGGCUAGAGUGCAGAAGGGGCAACUGGAAUUCUCGGUGUAGCGGUGAAAUGCGUAGAUAUCGAGAGGAACACCUGCGGCGAAGGCGGGUUGCUGGGCUGACACUGACGCUGAGGCACGAAAGCGUGGGGAGCAAACAGG